CUCGUCAGAGGGCUUCGCCGGCAGCUGCCACCGGCAGUGGCCCUUGCCGAUGCCCGUGUGCAGCACAUGCAGGAGCCGGUGCACCUGCCCCAGCUCCAGUAGCCGACGAUCGCCCGACAGCAGGUGCUCCGGCCGACGCUGCUGCUGCUCCGCCUACCUCUUCAGCUUGCCCUGCUGGACCAACAGCAUCGACCUCGACAGCAUGGACUGACACUAGCCUGAUCUGACUGCACCGAUAGCUUCGCACUGUCUUUGGAGAAGUUAUCGAUUUCAGUAUCGAUGGUGCUGGAGUGCUCUGCCGAGGCUGCUACUGUGCACUGAACCUCGUCAAUAGACUCGAAUACGAGCGGAAAAUGCUCAGAAAAUCAUUUAUAACGUGUAUGCUGCAUCGUGAUACCGACAACCUUAAGCCUGGAACUGUUCUAGCUACUGUAGAAGAUCACAGAAAAAACUCUGCAGCAUGUGAAGAACAACAGUUAUUUGGGACUGAAGAGAAGUACCCAUCCAAAAUGUGGACAAUAAAUGAAGAGCGACGAGAAAUCCACACUGAUUGUUUCCGUUCACUAGAAGUGAAUUCUGCAGGAUUGGUUGCCGGUUCUGUUGCACGUGAUUUCUUUAAAAGAUCACAUUUACCUGAUCAUGUGCUGAGAAAAAUAUGCUGCUGUCGUCGCCUGGUGAGAUCUCGUGGCUUGAGAUAUGACUGACUUACAAAAGAACAUCGCAACCUUGGUUUCAAACGCUCCGGAAACUAACGCGCUGUGUUUGGUG